UUGUGUUAAUGUCACGAUCGGAAAAUAUUGAAGCUACAUUAUAAAUGAGUGACAUGCCUCAAAUCGUUUGUCUACUCAAAGUAACAUAACGAAGAAUCAGUCUUGUUUGAGUGAGCUCCUUCCACUAGAAAUUGAAGGGAUGGGAAAAAGGAAAGCCACAGAUAGCGAAGAUCUCAAGACAUCUGGUCAUAACUCAUGUUGUGGGAUAUCGUCGAUGCUUUAUGGGAUAAAGAAGAAGGUAAAUACGAAGCGUAGCUUUUCUCCUAAAACACCGCCAGUUACCUCGGCAAAAAAGUCCGUAAUCUCAAGCCCGAGCCCGAAACUUAAACGGAACUUAUCUCAAGUAUAUGAAGGAGAUGACUCUUUAUCAGAAACUGAAACUUUCGAAAGGGAAAAGAAGUCUAAGAUCACUACUAUUACGGAAAAUGAAAAGUCCAAAAAGGAAAAGAAAAAACCUACCCAAGAUGAUGAUGAUGAUGAUGCUAAGUUACAAAGUAAGAAGAAAAAAACAGAUGUUAAUAAGCCAAACCGCAAAAAUAAGGAGAUAGAGACUUGAAAAUUUGGCACCAAUUGUAACUUUUAGAAAUAAAUUAAUCACUGAAGAAUAGGGAAAAUUAACUUCCAAGUUAACGAUAUAUCAGUGGUGUGAUCUUCUCCGGCUACCAGUUAUUUAAGGUAUUCAGCAUGUUCAAUUAUUAUUGACAUUUUCUGUAAUCUUUCAAGGAACCCCUCGUUCCUUUUUCGUUUUCUUUGUUCACUUUUUUUUAUUUUAUGAAGUACGAAAUAAUGAGCCAACGGACCUUAUGCUG